GGCCUUGACAUACUAAGAACUUUCCAGAGAUGGAUUGGUGCCUUCGGGAACUUAGAUACAGGUGCUGCAUGGCUGUCGUCAGCUCGUGUCGUGAGAUGUUGGGUUAAGUCCCGCAACGAGCGCAACCCUUUUCCUUAUUUGCCAGCGGGUCAUGCCGGGAACUUUAAGGAUACUGCCAGUGACAAACUGGAGGAAGGCGGGGACGACGUCAAGUCAUCAUGGCCCUUACGGCUAGGGCUACACACGUGCUACAAUGGUCGGUACAAAGGGUUGCUACCUCGCGAGAGGAUGCUAAUCUCAAAAAGCCGAUCGUAGUCCGGAUCGCAGUCUGCAACUCGACUGCGUGAAGUCGGAAUCGCUAGUAAUCGCGGAUCAGAAUGCCGCGGUGAAUACGUUCCCGGGCCUUGUACACACCGCCCGUCACACCAUGGGAGUUUGUUGCACCAGAAGUAGGUAGUCUAACCGCAAGGAGGACGCUUACCACGGUGUGGCCGAUGACUGGGGUGAAGUCGUAACAAGGUAGGCGUAGAUGA
rnacentral:rRNA from 1 species